CACUGAGAUGUCUUAUGUGCAGGGACCAGCUCCCACCGUACUUGUGGUCAUGUGCCACAAAUUUGUGCUGAUAAAAGGUAGGAUUUGUCUGCUUUCAACCUCACACGAGAGGACCAAGAGCUUCCCUAGAAGGUCACAUGAUUCUCUGCAUUGGUGUGUGGCAUGCUAAAAAUGCCAAAGAAAGACAGAUGCACAAGGACACUGUCAAAUCCACGUGACUUCUGCUGACACCAGAC
rnacentral:lncRNA from 1 species